UACGAAGGGGGCGAGCGUUGUUCGGAUUUACUGGGCGUAAAGGGCGCGUAGGCGGCCCUCCUUGUCGCGUGUGAAAGCCCCGGGCUCAACCUGGGAAUGGCCGUUGAAACUGGCGAACUGGAGUGUGGCAGAGGGGGGUAGAAUUCCACGUGUAGCAGUGAAAUGCGUAGAGAUGUGGAGGAAUACCGAUGGCGAAGGCAGCCCCCUGGGAUAACACUGACGCUCAUGCACGAA
rnacentral:rRNA from 1 species